rnacentral:rRNA from 1 species
AGCAGCCGCGGUAAUUCCAGCUCCAAUAGCGUAUAUUAAAGUUGUUGCAGUUAAAAAGCUCGUAGUUGAAUUUUAGACUUGGCCGGGCGGUCCGUCUUUGGCGAGUACUGUCCUGUUGUCGGGUCUUCCUUCUGGUGAACCAGUAUGUCCUUAAUUGGGUGUGUUGGGGAGCCAGGACCAUUACCUUGAAAAAAUUAGAGUGUUUAAAGCGGGCUAUUGCUUGAAUAGAUUAGCAUGGAAUAAUAGAAUAGGACGUUGUGGUUCUAUUUUGUUGGUUUCUAGGACCACCGUAAUGAUUAAUAGGGAUAGUUGGGGGCAUUAGUACUCAAUUGUCAGAGGUGAAAUUCUUGGAUUUAUUGAAGACUAACUAUUGCGAAAGCAUUUGCCAAGGAUGUUUUCAUUAAUCAAGAACGAAAGUUAGGGGAUCGAAGACGAUCAGAUACCGUCGUAGUCUUAACCAUA